rnacentral:rRNA from 2 species
GGACUACCGGGGUAUCUAAUCCUGUUUGCUCCCCUAGCUUUCGUGCCUCAGUGUCAGGAGUCGUCCAGGGACUCGCCUUCGCCACUGGUGUUCCUCUUGAUAUCUACGCAUUUCACUGCUACACCAAGAAUUCCAGUCCCCCCUCCGACCCUCUAGUUGGGUAGUUUCCAAUGCCAUUUCGGAGUUGAGCUCCGAGCUUUCACAUCCGACUUACCCUACCACCUACGCACCCUUUACGCCCAGUGAAUCCGAACAACGCUUGGGACCUCUGUAUUACCGCGGCGGCUGGCAC